UACGUAGGGGGCAAGCGUUGUCCGGAAUCAUUGGGCGUAAAGCGCGUGUAGGCGGCUGGCUAAGUCCGCUCUGAAAGCCCGGGGCUCAACCCCGGGAGGCGGGUGGAUACUGGUCAGCUCGAGUCCGGAAGAGGAGUGUGGAAUUCCUGGUGUAGCGGUGAAAUGCGUAGAGAUGUGGAGGAACACCAAUGGCGAAGGCAGCCUUCUGGGCCAACACUGACGCUCAUGCACGAAAGCGUGGGGAGCAAACAGG
rnacentral:rRNA from 1 species